rnacentral:rRNA from 1 species
GGAAUAUUGGACAAUGGGGGCAACCCUGAUCCAGCGAUGCCGCGUGGGUGAAGAAGGUCUUCGGGUUGUAAAGCCCUUUCGGUGGGGACGAAAAGCGGAAGGCGAAUACCCUUCCGUAUUGACGGUACCCACAUAAGAAGCACCGGCUAACUCCUCGCCACCAGCCGCGGUAAUACGGAGGGUGCGAGCGUUAACCGGAAUUACUGGGCGUAAAGGGUGCGUAGGCGGCUUGAUAAGUCAGGUGUGAAAGCCCUGGGCUCAACCCAGGAAUUGCGCUUGAUACUGUCGAGCUAGAGUUUGGUAGAGGGAAGUGGAAUUCCCGGUGUAGCGGUGAAAUGCGUAGGUAUCGGGAGGAACACCAGUGGCGAAGGCGGCUUCCUGGACUAAAACUGACGCUGAGGCACGAAAGCGUGGGGAGCAAAC